CAUUUCCCCUGCUUGCACUCCUCUGUCCCGCUGACCUGUGAAGAUGGUGUCUGCUUCUCCUUUGACUUCCGCCAUGACUGACAGUAUCUGAUUUGCUGUCUGUGAAAGAGUGGGAAAGAGAGCCUAAUCAGAAAGCAGCAGUCAAUCUUGGCUGAGGAGGUAUAUGCUGGAGAAUGAAGCUGCCCAAACCGAUGGGACCUGAGGAGUGAAGCCCUAAGAAAGCACCUCAGGAAAUCAGCCCAAAUUCCCACUACAAAUUUCCUUUCAAACAUUGGCUGAUUCUUAAGUAGCAUAUGCACGGGAUAAGACCCUCAAAACCCACUGAAAAACAGUAUGCAGAAAACUAAAAGCUGAGCAGAGAAGUCGGCAGCCAUGGAGACAGAGACUGGAUUGUUCAAAGCCUGUUCUUCCAGAUGGAGUUUUGCUGCUUGUU
rnacentral:lncRNA from 1 species